AGGAUGCAUGGUUAGGGAAGGAUGGAUGAAGAAGAGAAAGGUGGAUGGAUGGAUGGAUGGAUGGAUGGAUGGAUGGAUGGAUGGAUGGAUGGAGAAGGAUGCAUGGUUGAGGAAGGAUGGAUGGAAAAGAGAUGGAUGGAUGGAUGAAUGGGAAUGAGAAGGCUGGCUGGUUGCAAGCAGAGGGGGAAACCUGGAUGUUUCUUAGCUCCAUGGUGGAUCUGACAAUCCUCAAGACCCAUCUCUUGGUGCUUGGCUCUUGGUGCUGGGAAAGCCCUGCCUGGCAGCAGCUCUGCUCCGUGCUGGCAGGAGGCAAGCAGCUACCGCCUGGCACUGAAGCGGAUGGCCGGGGACAUCCUGUCCCUGCGCCAGCAGGUCACCAGCCUGGAGGUGGAGAACAGGCACCUGCGGCGCAGCCUGGCCUCGCAGGACGAGCUGGGCCACGAGCUGCUCAUGGAUGGGGACACGGACGUCAUGACCCGGGAGGAGCUGCUGGACAGGCUGGCCACCCUCAAGCAUCAACUGGUGGCUGGUACAGCUGAGAUGAGGAGGCUGAAGGACCGUGUCCAGCAGCUGCAGAAUGAGCUGAUCCGGAAGAACGACCGGGAGAAGGAGUUGGUGCUGCUGCAGCGAGCCCACCGACAGCAGCAAACUGCACUGAGGAGGUGCCAGGAGAAGGUGGCCAAGAUGAAAGGCUUGGAGGAGACAGUGCGGCAGCAGGAGAAGGUGGGUUGUGGGGCAUGAGGUUGGGGCGAGAAGGACAGACUGGGAGGCACGAUGCUC
rnacentral:lncRNA from 1 species